AUGUGCCAUGGCAACGAAGUGACAUAUAUGAUAAUGGGGUGAAAUCAUAGACAUACUAACCUAUAGAAAAAGGACACCUUAGCAUUGGUAAGAGGAGGAAAUACAAAUAAGGAAGAAGGGAAAACCCACUACUAAAUAUGCAUGAUACAUGGUAACACCAGUGUAAUAUAUUAUAUUAACAUAUUAACAUUGCAUCCCAGAGCAACAAAGAGAGAGAUGUUGAUCCUGGGAGGGGCCAGAAUGAUGGCCACAGGUGAAGAUGAGGAAGGUGAAGAUGAGGAGGAAGAGAAUGGCUAACAUUUCCGAUUGAUCUGCAAGGGAUGGUAUAGAGAGAAUACCAGCCACCCUUUCACUUACGUCUAUCAGUUAAGGAAGAUUAACUCAGCCCGUCUUCCAAAAAUAAGGUUGACUAAAUGAAAAGAAAUUAUUGUCUGUCAGAUUGCAAGAAAAAGGUGCAAACUACAUAGCAGAAAAUCCUUUGGAUAAUUUUGCCUAUGAUGUCAGGAAGUACAGAAUUCAAAAAUCCACAAUUGGAGCCAAUUUGUCUCUGUGGCCACAUUUCACACAAAUCAUAUCUUUAUCCUUUGCCCCUAAUCUUUUCUUGGUGCAACGAGAAGAGUCCCUGUUUACUAUUUGUAAAGACAAAAUAUGCCUAAUUUUUGGAAGUUUGAAGCCUAAUGAAAUCUCAGCUGUCCCUAAUGUUUAACAGAUGUCGGUUGAUUCCCAGCAGCAGCUCUGAAGAGAAAUCAUAAAAGUUAACAUGCUAAAACUGAAAACUCUAAUUCACUAACUAUCUCAUCUUUGCCUUUUUCCAAAGAGAGGGAUGUAAGACUUAGAAACCUCAUUACAAUGUUUUUCUCCCCACAGGGGUUUGUUUGAACUAAUCUCUUGCCUCAGAAGUUUCUCUACCUCAGCUCCAUGAUUUUGGGCCUCUCCAGUUUUAAAGAUAUGGUACCAAUCAAGGAGGAAGUAGAGUUGUAGUAACAGCCAUACUCCAUGUCAUCAUUUCUAUUAAAAUCUGUUGGGAUUUCCUCAGGUAAGAUAAUUCUUGCCUUGUCAAUAUUAUCACAGUUAACUUCCCAUUUCCCACUUAAAUCCCCUCCACAAAAGAGAUUCUGGUUGAGCUGGAGAAUUGGGGCACCAAGACUCCUAGAAGUGCUAUGAAAUCCAAGAAGAGUGAAAUCAUAGAAUCACCAUGUAAAUGGUCUGCAUGUUCCAAGAUAAGGGGUAUUUCCCCACAGACAUCAGCAGGUCUGGGAGCUGGGAGUGCCACUCUAUGAGAAACAAACCAUCUCCCCAAUGUAUGUCUCCAACAGCUUCAAGCAGGAGUCUUACAAUAAACAACUUAUCACAGCUCUGCAGCAUCAGUUUCUAUGUAACAAUCUCUCUAUGAACUUAUAUGGCCCCAGUCAAUGCAGACUCUGAACACUUAAG